UUUCCGUAGGUGAACCUGCGGAAGGAUCAUUACAGAGUUCAUGCCCUCACGGGUAGAUCUCCCACCCUUGAAUAUUUAUACCUUAGUUGCUUUGGCAGGCCGUGGAAACACCAUGGGCUCCGGCUUAUGCGUGCCUGCCAGAGGAAACAAACUCUGUUUUUAGUGAUGUCUGAGUACUAUAUAAUAGUUAAAACUUUCAACAACGGAUCUCUUGGUUCUA
rnacentral:misc_RNA from 1 species